rnacentral:rRNA from 1 species
GAGUUAGCUCUCUUAGCCAUGAUAGAGGGCGGCGUACGGCUCAGUAACAUGUGGUCAAUCUACCCUCAGGACGGAGAUAACCUCGGGAAACUGAGGCUAAUAUCCGAUAGAUAAUGGAUCCUGGAAUGGUUCAUUAUUCAAACGGCACAUUGCUCAUGCGCAGUGUGUUGCCUGAGGAUGAGACUGCACCCUAUCAGGUAGUUGGUGGGGUAACGGCCCACCAAGCCUAUAACGGGUACGGGCCCUGAGAGGGGGAGCCCGGAGAUGGGCACUGAGACAAGGGCCCAGGCCCUACGGGGCGCAGCAGGCGCGAAACCUCUGCAAUGCGCGAAAGCGCGACAGGGCCACCCCGAGUGCUAGCCGCUGAGGUUAGCUUUUCCUUAGUGUAGUAAGCUAAGGGAAUAAGCGGGGGGCAAGCCUGGUGUCAGCCGCCGCGGUAAUACCAGCUCCGCGAGUGGUCGGGAUGAUUAUUGGGCCUAAAGCGUCCGUAGCCGGCCUAUCAAGUCUCUGGUUAAACCUCAAGGCUCAACCUUGAGAUUGCUGGAGAUACUGUUAGGCUAGGGGGCGGGAGAGGUUGAGGGUACUACGCGGGUAGGGGCGAAAUCCUAUAAUCCGUGUAGGACCACCAGUGGCGAAGGCGCUCAACUGGAACGCGCCCGACGGUGAGGGACGAAAGCCAGGGGAGCAAAGGGGAUUAGAUACCCCCGUAGUCCUGGCUGUAAACGAUGCGGGCUAGGUGUUGGGUUGGCUUCGUGCCAACCCGGUGCCGCAGUGAAGACGAUAAGCCCGCCGCCUGGGAAGUACGGCUGCAAGGCUGAAACUUAAAGGAAUGGCGGG